rnacentral:lncRNA from 1 species
UGUUUAAGUGUGAACAAGUAACUAAUCAAAUCGAGCAAACCAAGGUGAGUUCACUGCUCUUUUCCCAAGCAUGCGUCUCGGGGAGGGACAUCUGGUAAUCGUUCCGGGGAGGAACGUCGGGUUAUUGGGAUUUGAUAGCGCUAUUAGGUUUGGCACCCUCACACCGUACCGGGGAGGACGGUCGUGAACUAAUUACCUUAACCACUUGACCAAUGUGUGAUAGAGCAUUGGGGUUUGGGAAAAUAAAUCUAGAGCCAUCUGCGGUAAUCGAGUUAAUAACAACAUCAAAUCAUUGAAAUGUUUUAAACUGGAAACUAGAAACUAAACACGAUAACAAAACUUUGAACUCACCAGCGUCGUCUGACACACUUGUCUGCAUGCUUGCAGGUCUAUAGGUUUAUAUCAUUUGGAAGUUGCUGUCUGGAAGGCUGGUGUGGUCAUGGGUGGAGAUACAUGGAAUCGUAACACAAGUCUAAUGGUUUACAUACGCGUGGUUUAUGAAACACUUAACAAAUGAGUUUUGCUUCCGUUUUGUACAAUGAAUUAUAUGUAACGUUUUGUAACAUUGUAUGUUAAUGAAUGAAAGCUUUAUUUAAAUAUAUUCGUGAGUUCAAUGUGAUUGGUGGCUAAGAUCGUGGUACGUCACUCGCCCUGCGGUGUUUCCGCGAGGGGCAUUUUGGGGGUUUGACAGUUUGGUAUCAGAGCCACUGGUUAUAAUGAACUUGGUUUUAAAAUGUUUUUAUAAAACCAGACUAUAACCGAACAGUUCUGCAAAAAGAAUACGACCAUGACACUCAGCUCCAGGUAUCAAGGUGUCACACCCCCAAAAUCCUCACGCGGAGUAUCACCGCUUGGAAGCGUGACUUACCAGGAUCAAGCCACCAAUCAUAUAGAACAACGUAUAUAGUAAAAGUAAAUGUCAUU